CACGUAGGGUGCGAGCGUUGUCCGGAAUUAUUGGGCGUAAAGAGCUCGUAGGCGGCUUGUCGCGUCGACUGUGAAAACCCACGGCUUAACUGUGGGCUUGCAGUCGAUACGGGCAGGCUAGAGUUCGGUAGGGGAGACUGGAAUUCCUGGUGUAGCGGUGAAAUGCGCAGAUAUCAGGAGGAACACCGGUGGCGAAGGCGGGUCUCUGGGCCGAUACUGACGCUGAGGAGCGAAAGCGUGGGGAGCGAACAGG
rnacentral:rRNA from 1 species